rnacentral:rRNA from 1 species
AUUGAACGCUGGCGGCAGGCCUAACACAUGCAAGUCGAACGAGUGGCGGACGGGUGAGCAAUGUCUGGGAAACUGCCUGCUGGAGGGGGAUAACUACUGGAAACGGUAGCUAAUACUGCAUACCAUCAGAUGUGCCCAGAUGGGAUUAGCUUGUUGGUGGGGUAACGGCUAACAAAGGCGACGAUCCCUAGCUGGUCUGAGAGGAUGACCAGCCACACUGGAACUGGUACGCGAUGCAGACUCGGACGGGAGGCAGCAGUGGGGAAUUUUUGACAAUGGGGGCAAGCCUGAUGAAGCCAUGCGACGUGUAUGAAGAAGGCCUGCGGGUUGUAAAAAACUUUCAGCGGGGAGGCGAUACCCGUGGAGGAAGCACCGGCUAACUCCGUGCCAGCGGCCGCGGUAAUAC